GACGAACGCUGGCGGCGUGCCUAACACAUGCAAGUCGAGCGGGGGGAGUUCUUCGGAACUAACCUAGCGGCAGACGGGUGAGUAACACGUGGGUAACCUGCCUCCAAGUGGGGGACAGCCUUCCGAAAGGGAGAUUAAUACCGCAUAACCCAUGAUUUCCGCCGGGAAGCCAUGGUAAAGAUUUAUCGCGUUGAGAUGGACCCACGCCCCAUUGGCUGGUUGGUGAGGUAACGGCCCACCAAGGCGAGGAUGGGUAGCCGCGCUAACAGGCGGAUCGGCCACACUGGGACGAAGACACGGCCCAGACUCCUAAGGGAGGCAGGAGUGGGGAAUUUUGCGCGAUGUGCGAAAGCCUGAGGCAGCAACGCCGCGUGCGGUAUGAAGGCUCUCGGGUCGUAAACCGCUUUCAGAAGGGAUGAAAUUGACAGAACCUGCAGAAGAAGCCCCGGCUAAAUACGUGCCAGCAGCCGCCGUAAAAC
rnacentral:rRNA from 1 species